rnacentral:rRNA from 1 species
AGCAACGCCGCGUGAAUGAAGAAGGCCUUCGGGUUGUAAACUUCUGUCUUUGGGGAAGAAUAAAUGACGGUACCCAAGGAGGAAGCCACGGCUAACUACGUGCCAGCAGCCGCGGUAAUACUUAGGUGGCAAGCGUUGUUCGGAAUUACUGGGUGUAAAGGGUGCGUAGGCGGGUGAUCAAGUCAGGUGUGAAAUACCACGGCUCAGCUGUGGGGGUGCACUUGA